GAGAACUGAAGUACUGGGGCCUCCUCCACUGGGUCCGAAUCAGUAGGUGACCCCGCCCCUGGAUUCUGGAAGACCUCACCAUGGGACGCCCCCGACCUCGUGCGGCCAAGACGUGGAUGUUCCUGCUCUUGCUGGGGGGAGCCUGGGCAGCGUGUGGAAGCCUGGACCUCCUCACUAAGUUGUAUGCGGAGAACUUGCCGUGUGUCCAUUUGAACCCACAGUGGCCUUCCCAGCCCUCGCACUGCCCCAGAGGGUGGCGAUCCAACCCUCUCCCUCCUGCUGCAGGACACUCCAGGGCACAGGAGGACAAGGUGCUGGGGGGUCAUGAGUGCCAACCCCAUUCGCAGCCUUGGCAGGCGGCCUUGUUCCAGGGCCAGCAACUACUCUGUGGCGGUGUCCUUGUAGGUGGCAACUGGGUCCUUACAGCUGCCCACUGUAAAAAACCGUGAGUGGAUGAUGGGGGCAGAGGUCAGCUGGGGCUUAA
rnacentral:lncRNA from 1 species